rnacentral:rRNA from 1 species
UACGAAGGGAGCUAGCGUUGUUCGGAAUCACUGGGCGUAAAGCGCACGUAGGCGGAUGUGUCAGUCAGGGGUGAAAUCCCGGAGCUCAACUUCGGAACUGCCUUUGAUACAGCACGUCUUGAGUCCGAUAGAGGUGGGUGGAAUUCCUAGUGUAGAGGUGAAAUUCGUAGAUAUUAGGAAGAACACCGGUGGCGAAGGCGACUUACUGGACACAUAUUGACGCUGAGGUGCGAAAGCGUGGGGAGCAAACAGG